CGAAACAUCUCAACAUGCGGAUUUGUGACCAAUGACCAAUCGCGGUUUAGACCAGAGAAAUUAAACAUCCAAGUUGAGGUCUCGUCCGCCACAUACAAUGCUCAAAAGAGUAAAGUAACAUCACCCUAAUAUUGAAAUCUGAUGUUGAAACUUGGAAAUAAUCAUACCUGGAAUAACAGCAACGAGUAAUGCCGACGCACUACAACCAGUGAGGCGAGUGUCGGGAUUCGGCAAAUGAAGGUGGGAAACAAAAUGCUUGAUUUGGCCAGAAGCUUAAUGCUGUUCCAGGUGUAGCGGUGAGGCCGGUGAGAGCUUUGGAGUGGUUGUGGUCGCCAAAGGGAACCCAGCAAAGGUU
rnacentral:lncRNA from 1 species